AUGCAGUUCUUUUAAGAUGGAAUGGCUGUCGGAGUAUGUGCAAAUUGAAGAAAAAGCGGGUAAGAGCUAAAGGAGAUCUCACAGCUUGUGGAUAUUUGUGCUACAUUUCAAGCUUCCAGUGCCGACUGUGAAAGAGGAUUUAGUUUAAUUAAUCAUAUCAAAACAAAAUCCAGAAAUCGUCUUGAAGUGACACAUUUGGACCAGCUGAUGCGCAUAAAGUCAAAGCAAGAAGCAGACGAAGCCAUCAACCUGGACAAAGUGUACAACCAUUGGAGAAGUGAGAAGGACAGACGUGAAAAAUAAGAACAGGACCCUCAGCCAGGCAAAGCAGGACUCUUCCCAUGGCCAAAGCAGGACUCUCACAUACUGUAUAACAUCUACACAUCCCAUUUUUCAGAUUUUUGUCUUUUUUUAAGUGGACCAAAUUACUUAUUUAAAAAUAAAGCGUGCAUAUCUAAUGUUG